rnacentral:rRNA from 1 species
UACGUAGGGCGCAAGCGUUGUCCGGAAUUAUUGGGCGUAAAGAGCUCGUAGGCGGUCUGUCGCGUCGGUUGUGAAAACCCAAGGCUCAACCUUGGGCCUGCAAUCGAUACGGGCAGACUGGAGUACUGCAGGGGAGACUGGAAUUCCUGGUGUAGCGGUGGAAUGCGCAGAUAUCAGGAGGAACACCGGUGGCGAAGGCGGGUCUCUGGGCAGUAACUGACGCUGAGGAGCGAAAGCGUGGGGAGCGAUCCGG